UACGUAGGGUGCGAGCGUUGCCCGGAUUUAUUGGGCGUAAAGGGCGCGUAGGCGGUCACGCACGUCCGUUGUGAAAUCGCUCGGCUCAACUGGGCGGGGUCAGCGGAUACGGCGUGGCUGGAGCAAGCUAGGGGGCAAUGGAAUUCCCGGUGUAGUGGUGGAAUGCGUAGAUAUCAGGAGGAACACCUGUGGCGAAAGCGGCUCACUGGACCACAACUGACGCUGAUGCACGAAAGCUAGGGGAGCAAACAGG
rnacentral:rRNA from 1 species